GACGGAGGGUACUAGCGUUGUUCGGAAUCACUGGGCGUAAAGGGCGCGCAGGCGGCCCCUCGCGUCGGACGUGAAAGCCCGGGGCUCAACCCCGGAACGGCGUCCGAUACGGGGGGCUCGAGGCCGGGAGAGGGGGGUGGAAUUCCCAGUGUAGAGGUGAAAUUCGUAGAUAUUGGGAAGAACACCGGUGGCGAAGGCGGCGACCUGGUCCGGGACUGACGCUGAGGCGCGAAGCGUGGGAGCAAACAGG
rnacentral:rRNA from 1 species